rnacentral:rRNA from 1 species
GUGCCAGCCGCCGCGGUAAUACGUAGGGUGCGAGCGUUAAUCGGAAUUACUGGGCGUAAAGCGUGCGCAGGCGGUUAUAUAAGACAGUUGCGAAAUCCCCGGGCUUAACCUGGGAAUGGCGCUUGUGACUGCACGACUGGAGUGCGGCAGAGGGGGAUGGAAUUCCGCGUGUAGCAGUGAAAUGCGUAGAUAUGCGGAGGAACACCGAUGGCGAAGGCAGUCCCCUGGGCCUGCACUGACGCUCAUGCACGAAAGCGUGGGGAGCAAACAGGAUU